rnacentral:sRNA from 1 species
GACUUUGAUCCUAAUACCACUCCUUAAUAUAUGCCUAUCCUAUCAUUAUUUCACAACGCAUGUUUACUUUUGUUAUGAAAUAUAGUUUUGUUUAAAGGGUGGUAACGUAAUUUAUGGGUUCCAUUAGGAUUGUGUUUUAUUUUCUCUCCUCAUCCUCAUGCAUGUAAGAAUUUGCAUUUUUAUAAAUAUAUACUAUGAAUUCAGUCCAACCUUACAGUGUGAACAAUUUAAUUAAACGAAGCAUAAUCCUAAAAGAAAAUAAAACUAAAAAAAAAUAGUUAAGAUGGUAUAAGAUAAUUUUAUUAAGUUAAGAUGUUGCACUUUUCACUAAGUAAAUCAAACAUUUACAUAGUGAUUUGUCAUAAUGUGCAUAUUCCAUUUUUUCGGGUCUUUCAUUUCCAUAUUCCUCAGCUCUUUCAUAUAUUGAAGAUUGAAGAGAAUAAGAAAGACGCUUUUUAUAGGAAACGAAUUAAAGAGUGUUGACUUGCCGUAAAAGUAACUUAAAUUGUUCGUCGCCUGAGCAUGGAUUUAUAUAAACGUGAAGUACUAUACAAAACCCUAACCAACAUUUGAUCAAACGACAAUGAUGUCGGAACUUCCAGAGCAUUUGUUAGAAGAGAUACUCUACCGCGUUCCAGCUAUGUCUUUGAAACAGUUAGGGUCUACUUGCAAAGGAUGGAACUGUUUAUUCAAGGAUAGGAGAUUCACAAGAAAACACUUGGAUAAAGGCCCAAAGCAGUUUCUGAUUCACAUGUCUAAAGGGCUUAGGGUACGCUCGAUGAGUGUCGAUCUCCAUAGACUUCCACAUGUAAAAGUCACAGUUGAAUUUACCCUAAUCAACCCUAAAUAUCCUAGUUGUCUAGAUCAAGAUCAAUUCGAGAUAUAUAAAGUCUCUCACUGCGACGGCUUAUUGUUAUGCGUCUGCGUCACCAAGGAGGACAAUACUUGGCUCGCGGUAUGGAACCCGUGUACUGGUCAAACAAGGUGGAUUCAACCCAUGACUUAUAUGACAACUAUACUCUCGGAUCCUACCAAAAUAAUAGCUACAAUAUAUUGGCACACACUGGUUUUGGCUACGACCACGAAUUCCAAAUUUAUGAAAUUAACUCCAAUUCAUGGAGGAUUAUUGAUGCCACUUUGGACUUCAAAUUAGGGUAUAUUGGUCGUGGCGUGUCUUUGAAGGGAAAGACUUACUGGAUUGCUAGUGGUGAAGAAGAGAAACGGCUUGGCAAAUUCUUAAUCAGUUUUGAUUAUACGACAGAAAGAUUUGAACGUCUAUGUCUUCCGAAUAAGUAUCCUUGUUAUGCAACUCUGGCUCUAUCCGUUGUUAGAGAAGAGAAACUUUCCAUGUUAUCGCAACGCGGAAUUAAAUCAAAGGCAGAAAUAUGGGUGACAAAUAAGAUUGGUGAGACACAAGUGGUGUCGUGGAGCAUGGUCUUAGCUUUGGAUUUGCAGCCUAAACGUUGUAUUGGGGAAAGCGGAAGUUUCUUGGUCGACGAGAAGAAGAGAGUGGUCGUGUGUUGUGAUAAUAUUAGAGACCAAGGAAAAACCACGGUACACAUUUUUGGAGAGGACAACAAAGUGAAACAAGUGGGUUUUGAAGUCGGAUCAUCUCUGUAAUGUAUGUUUUAUUAUGUUCCAAGUUUGACUCAAAUCUACCAAGGUAUCACAGGCAAAAGAAAAAGGGACGAAUGAUCAUAGUGUUUGGUGUGGAUCUUGGAGCAACUAUCAGAUUUUUCAAUUAUGAUAAGUUUUCUUCUCAAUUUCAAUUAAUCGCUUCUUUAUGCCAUAAUUUAGAGGCAAUUGCUGUAAUAUUUCUAAAUUUUUUAGGCAUUCUUUACUUUGUACUUCUCCUUUUAAUUAUAUAGGUAGAUUUGAUGAUAAUUAGAAGAUUAAGACUUCAAAAAUGGAGAUUAUGUGAAAUUGAGAAAAGCAUCACACAAAGAAAAUGGUUUUUGGUGGAACAAUUGGGAUAUUUGCAUAACAUGAAUUUUGAUUCCGGUUUACUAUACAUUAUUUGUUUCUUGAUUCCGGUUUAGUAUAUCCUAGUACUUACUUAAAUCAAUAAUCCGGG